GCGGCCCACAGGUCUGGCUCGCUCGUUCCCACAUUCGGAGGGCGCGCGCGGCGGACAACGACGACGACACGGGGCCUUUGUUCGGCUCUGCCGCCCGGAAUAAGAAAGACGGCUGUAGAGCUGGGGGUGGGGGGAGUCAUAAAGACAGGGUGUCAGGCUUCCUCUGAGGGUGAGGGACGGCGAAAAAGGCCCCGGCCGCAAAAGAGUGCGGAGAGAGGGAGAGGAAACCUUCAACCCCAAAUGGUAGACUUCGGAAGGAAGAAUACUGGCAAAGCCACACAGUUCGUUAAUUCACACACUCACCUUCUUCGCAGGAGCAGACACUCCGUGGCGUAAUCCCUCCACAAGCAGUCAGCUGAAGGGGAUGAGUCGCCGUCGCCUCUCUCACUCUCCCUCCUUCAACGGCAGCCGUCGUCUAUCUUUCUCUCUCCCCCUGGCGAUUAGGCUGCUCUACGCCGCCCUGCCCCCCCCCUCCGCCGCCGCGUGAGAGAGGCCGCGAGCAGGCGCUCGAGCUCCAGAGACGUCAGCACGCAAGUAGGGAGGGGCUAAAGAACUACAGGCGGAUAUGGGCGGAGUCAAUCUCAAAACGCAACCGGAAACGAAAAGGGAGAAAAUGGAGUUGUGUAGAUGAGGCUGUACUGGGUGCCUUUCUCCUCUCACGAUCAUCAAAACCCUGGAGCUGUUCAAUCUGGAGUUUCUCACAUGAAUCAAGGAUGAAAUCCAGGCAACCACCAGUGCAUGUAACUUUCUGGGUCACUCUGGUUUACCACAAUGAAAGGUUACAACAAGAGGGAUUGUGCAGAGCCAUCACUUUUGAAGUCAGUUGUGGUAUUCAGUUAUAGAAAUGUCAAUACAAAACAACUUACAGUGCAAUCCUGUAUGUGUCUAUUCACAAGUAAGCCCCACUAACUUCUAUGCAACUUAUU